CCUACGGGAGGCAGCAGUAGGGAAUCUUUCACAAUGGGCGAAAGCCUGAUGGAGCAACGCCGCGUGCAGGAUGAAGGCCUUCGGGUUGUAAACUGCUUUUAUAAGCGUGCAAUAUGAUGGUAACUUAUGAAUAAGGAUCGGCUAACUACGUGCCAGCAGCCGCGGUCAUACGUAGGCUCCGAGCAUUAUCCGGAGUGACUGGGUGUAAAGAGUUGCGUAGGUGGCAUAGUAAGUAGCUAGUGAAAUCUGGUGGCUCAACCAUUCAGACUAUUAGCUAAACUGCUAAGCUCGAGACCGUUAGGGGUAACUGGAAUGUCUAGUGUAGGAGUGAAAUGCGUAGAUAUUAGAAGGAAAACCGAUAGCGUAGGCAGGUUACUGGGACGGUUCUGACACUAAGGCACGAAAGCGUAGGGAGCAAACGGGAUUAGAUACCCUAGUAGUC
rnacentral:rRNA from 1 species